CGUAACUGGUGUUCUUCAAGAUGUGUUGUUCAUGUCCAUUCAACUUAGGUGUGUGUGCUCGCCACAUGCACUGAUGCCGGAAGUUUUUCCCUCAGCAGUAUCUGUAGGGGACCGGCUCCGGCAUCCCCUGGAGGGGUGCACAUAUGCCACAGUAAAUAGGGCACCACCCGUUCCCCCCACCCACAAUUCCUUCUUGCCAGAAAUUCCCAUAGUGGGGAAGGAGGGCAGGUUGUGGAAUGGACAUGAGCAACACAUCUCAAAGUUGAGGACCAGUUAUUGGUCUUUUUCGAGUGCUUACUCAUGUCCAUUCAACUUAGGUGACUCCCAAGCAGUACCCCUGGAAGGUGAGUAGGAGUUCACAGAUGUGUAGAUUGAAACACCGCUCUGCCGAACUCAGCAUCAUCCCUGGCCUGCUAAGUGAUGGCAUGGUGGGCUGUGAAUGUGUGUACCGAGGAUCAUGUUGCGGCUCGACAUAUGUCCUGGAUCAGGAAGUGUGCCAGGAAAGCUGCCGAAGAUGCCUGUGCUCUGGUAGAGUGGGCUCUGAUGAUUGGUGGCAGAGGGACUCCCGCCAAUUCAUAGCAGAUCCGAAUGCAAGAGAAAAUCUGCUGCAUUCGGACAGUUAGAAAUCCUCUGCGUGGACACCGGGAGGCCCUUCAUCCUAUCAACUGUAGAGAUGAAAAGCUGAGCUGACCUCUGGAACGGCUUUGUCCAAUCUAGGUAGAAAACCAGGGCCCUUCUUGCGUCCAAAGCAUGAAAGCACCUCUCUUCACCAGUCUCAUGGGGCUUAGGGCAGAAGACCGGAAGGAAGAUGUACUGGCUCAUGUGGAAAGUAGACACCACCUUGGGAAGGAAGCUGGGUGGGGCUAGAGCUGGACCUUGUCCUUACAGAAGACCAUGUAUGGCGGGAGAUCAGGGCUCACAGCUCGGAGACUUGCCUCACUGAUGUCAUUGCCACCAGGAAAGCUACCUUCCACGAUAGGUGAAACAGAGAGUAUGAGGCCAAAGGCUCAAAGGGCGGGCCUGUGAGCCUAGACAGAACCAAGCUGAGAUCCUACUGAGGGACCGGGGACUAAACUUGAGGAAAAAGUCUCUUGAGACCUCUGAGGAACCUGACUGUCAUGUCUUGGGAGAACACCAUCUGCCCCUAGAUGGGUGGAUGAAAGGCAGAAAUAGCCACUAGAUGUACCCUGAUAGAGGAGUGUGCCAGGCCCUGGUUCCUCAACUGCAGCAGGUAGUCUGAGAUAGAGUGCCCCGAAGAAUGCGAAGGGGAGAUGCCCCAUUUGGCUGCCCAGUGGGAGAACCUCAUUCACUUUGCCAGAUAAGUCUGUCUAGUCGAGGGCUUUCUACUCUCGAGGAGGACCUUCUGGACCUCUUCCAAACAGGCCCAUUCCUCAGGGUUCAGCCACACAACAUCCAUGCCAUGAGGUGGAGGGAUGCAAGGUUGGGGUGCAAUAGUUGACAUUGAUCCUGUGACAGCAGGUCCGGUCGGUUCAGCAGAGGCCACAGAAGGAUUGUUGACAGGCUCAACAGCAUCCCAAACUGGUGCUGGUGAGGCCAUGCUGGGGCGAUCAUGAUAACCUGAGCCUUGUCUCUUUUGAUUUUCGCUAGGACUUUGCUGAUGAGCGGAAUUGAAGGGAACGCAUAUAUCAGACUUUCCCCUACGGCAGGAGGAAGGCGUCAGAGAGGGAGCCCUUGUCCAGACCCCCUCUGGAGCAAAACCUGUGGCACCUCCUGUUCUGCCUGGUGGUGAACAAAUCCACUUGGGGUGUUUUCCACCUCUGGAAGAUCAUGCCAGCUACCUCCGGGUGGAGCACCCACUCGUGGUGAGAGAGAAGUCCCUGCUUAGGUGAUCUGCUAGUGUGUUCUUGGCACCAGAAGGUGACAUGCUUCUAGGUGGAUUCCAUGGUCAAUGCAGAAGUCCCAAGGACAGAUUGCCUCUUGGCAGAGGGCAGAGGAUCACGCUCCCUCUUGUCUGUUGAUGCAGAACAUUGAGGCUGUGUUGCCCAUCAGGACUGACCACUUUACCCGACAGACUGAGGCAAUGGUAGGCUAACAGCAUCGAGACAUGCCUUUGGACCUGGGACCUGGAGCUGCCCUUGACAUCUGACAUGCACUUGAAGGGACAUCUUGCAUCGACUAUUGAGCCUCCGUGGAGAAGCCAGAGAGGAGCAGCCAGGAAGCCCGGCAAAUGGCGACAGCUGAGGCCAUGGUUCGGGCAGCAGUGUCUGCUACAUCUGACGCCGCUUGGAGCGUCACCCUGGCUGCAGCCGUGCCCUCCUCCCUCCAUAAUAGCCCAGCACUCUUUCCUAGAGGCCUCAGGAAGAGACCCCUCAAACUUGGCUAUGGCUUGCCAUGUUAAAAUCAUAGCGUCC